UCUUGCGCAGCGUGCGGCCGGACCGGGACAGGCUGCUGAAGGAGAAGCCGGGUUGGGCAGCCCCCGCGGCCUCGAGCCCAGGGCCGCCCGCUCGCACAAGGCCAUUAAGCGGAGCCAUCCCAAGGGCCCCGGACGGCUCCCCUUCCCGGGCACCGCAGGGCCCAGACGCGGGGAAGGCCCCGCCGCCAGCUGCCCCAAGGCCCUGGAGCCGUCGCCUUCUGGCUUUGAUGUCAACACGGCUGUUUGGGUCUGAGUCCCGGAGACAGAAAGUUGACCGAGCCCCAGAGCGGCCCCGUGUGCCGGGAAGCGUGGGCUGCGGGCGCUAUGGCUUUCGAAAGCCGAACUCCUGAGUUCCUUUCCCCCAGGAAGGAGGGCGAGACAGCGAGAGUGUCUGGAGCUGAGGGUUGUAGCCCUGGAGACCAAGCUGGAGGAGGGAGGAGGCUUCCAUCACCCUCAGAUCCCCUCUGCCAAAUGGUGGAUGUUUCAUGCUUUGGUGGCGGGAGCCACACGAAGGAAGGGCCUCCACAGCUCGAGCCUUUGGGUGGCGGGGGUCCGGCUUCCAGUGCACCGCGGGGCACCUCCCCCGUCCCCCCGGAGCAGGUAAGGCACUCCUGCCAGGACCAUGGAAUGAGCACGGGGGCUGGAGUCAAACAGGAUGUGAGACCCCUUUCUGUCCCGGUCAGCUCCAGUGUGCUGCUUGACCUCUCCAAGCCUCGGCUUUCUGGUCUCUGA
rnacentral:lncRNA from 12 species